ACGCUAGCGACAGGCUUAACACAUGCAAGUCGAGGGGCAGCGGGGGUAGCGAUACCCGCCGGCGACCGGCGCACGGGUGAGUAACGCGUAUGCAACUUGCCUAUCAGAGGGGGAUAACCCGGCGAAAGUCGGACUAAUACCGCAUGAAGCAGGGGCCCCGCAUGGGGAUAUUUGCUAAAGAUUCAUCGCUGAUAGAUAGGCAUGCGUUCCAUUAGGCAGUUGGCGGGGUAACGGCCCACCAAACCGACGAUGGAUAGGGGUUCUGAGAGGAAGGUCCCCCACAUUGGUACUGAGACACGGACCAAACUCCUACGGGAGGCAGCAGUGAGGAAUAUUGGUCAAUGGCCGAGAGGCUGAACCAGCCAAGUCGCGUGAGGGAUGAAGGUUCUAUGGAUCGUAAACCUCUUUUAUAAGGGAAUAAAGUGCGGGACGUGUCCCGUUUUGUAUGUACCUUAUGAAUAAGGAUCGGCUAACUCCGUGCCAGCAGCCGCGGUAAUACGGAGGAUCCGAGCGUUAUCCGGAUUUAUUGGGUUUAAAGGGUGCGUAGGCGGCCUUUUAAGUCAGCGGUGAAAGUCUGUGGCUCAACCAUAGAAUUGCCGUUGAAACUGGGGGGCUUGAGUAUGUUUGAGGCAGGCGGAAUGCGUGGUGUAGCGGUGAAAUGCAUAGAUAUCACGCAGAACCCCGAUUGCGAAGGCAGCCUGCCAAGCCAUUACUGACGCUGAUGCACGAAAGCGUGGGGAUCAAACAGGAUUAGAUACCCUGGUAGUCCACGCAGUAAACGAUGAUCACUAGCUGUUUGCGAUACACUGUAAGCGGCACAGCGAAAGCGUUAAGUGAUCCACCUGGGGAGUACGCCGGCAACGGUGAAACUCAAAGGAAUUGACGGGGGCCCGCACAAGCGGAGGAACAUGUGGUUUAAUUCGAUGAUACGCGAGGAACCUUACCCGGGUUUGAACGCAUUCGGACCGAGGUGGAAACACCUUUUCUAGCAAUAGCCGUUUGCGAGGUGCUGCAUGGUUGUCGUCAGCUCGUGCCGUGAGGUGUCGGCUUAAGUGCCAUAACGAGCGCAACCCUUGCCACUAGUUACUAACAGGUAAAGCUGAGGACUCUGGUGGGACUGCCAGCGUAAGCUGCGAGGAAGGCGGGGAUGACGUCAAAUCAGCACGGCCCUUACAUCCGGGGCGACACACGUGUUACAAUGGCGUGGACAAAGGGAAGCCACCUGGCGACAGGGAGCGAAUCCCCAAACCACGUCUCAGUUCGGAUCGGAGUCUGCAACCCGACUCCGUGAAGCUGGAUUCGCUAGUAAUCGCGCAUCAGCCAUGGCGCGGUGAAUACGUUCCCGGGCCUUGUACACACCGCCCGUCAAGCCAUGGGAGCCGGGGGUACCUGAAGUCCGUAACCGCGAGGAUCGGCCUAGGGUAAAACUGGUGACUGGGGCUAAG
rnacentral:rRNA from 1 species